CUUGCCUCUAUUUGGAAUGGUACCAGAAUAUCUGUGUUUUUCUAUGAAGAAAAAAAAAUUUUUUUUUGACUGGUCUCAUUCUGUUGUUGUCCAGGCUGGAGUGCAGUGGUGUGAUCACUGCUCACUGCAGCCUCGACCUCCCCGGGCUCAGGUGAUCCUCCCACCUAAGGCUUCUGAGUGGCGGGGACUACCAGCAUAAAUAGGUGAGACUACACUGCCACACUUGGGUGAUUUUUUUAUUUGCAGAAAUGAGGAUUUGCCAUGUCACCCAGGCUGGUCUUGAACUCCUAGGCUCAUGUGAUCUGCCCACCUCGGCCUCCCAAGUGCUGUUGUAAGAUUACAGGCACGAGCCACCAUGCCCAACCUGAAGAAGUUUUGUUCAGUGAAGUUUGGUGAACUGCCAGUCAUCACCUCACCUCCUGCAGCUCUCGAUGAAGAGAUGCUUACAAAUGAAGAAAAGACCACGCCACAUUCAGAAGCAACCAGCCUAGGGUCAUGAGCUACUCAGUGGUCAAAGCAGAACCGGCGUUCAGCGGCAUCUUCCAAUCUGGUGCUAUUUUUAUUUAUCCUAUAGUCUUGAUUGAUUCCCUGUUCCUUCCUUCUCCUUCCUCUCUGGCUGGGGUGACACUACCACACGUGGUAAUAGCAGACUGAGAGGCACAAUUUGCUUAGUGGGGAAAAUCCUUACUUGGAAGUCAGUCUACCUGAAUGCCAUUAACCCUCGGGCAAGUCACUAACCUGAGUUUCAGUUUCCUCAACUGUAAAAUGGGGAUAGAGAGGCUUCCCUCCUAGGGCGUGGGAGGACAAAAAGAGUUAAUCAAUGUAUGCACAACAGUGCUUGCGAGGUUCUGUGUCCGUUAUCACUGCUAUGCUAAUAUUGCCAGAGUUUACAAUGGCUUUUUUAAAUUUUGAGACAGAGUCUUGCUCUGUCACCCAGGCUGGAGUGCAGUGGUGUAAUCUCCGCUCACUGCAACCUCCACCUCCUAGGUUCAAGCAGUUCUCUGCCUCAACCUCGCAAACAGCUGCAGCUGGGACUACAGGUGCCUGCCACAAUGCCUGGCUAAUUUUGUGUGUGUGUAUUUUUUAGUAGAGACAGGGUUUCACCAUGUUGACCAGGCUGGUCUUGAACUCCUGACCUCAGGUGAUCCACCCACCUCCGCCUCCCAAAGUGCUGGGAUUAUAGGUGUGAGCCACUGUGCCCAGCUCCAAUGGCUCUUAGGAGGAACACCUCUCCUCUUUCUCAGGUAAAAAAUGUACUUUUCUCUGUAACUAAAGCUUUUUAUACUUGCGUGGAGCCACGAAGUCCAUUUCCAGCUCCCUGGAUAUAGGGACUGAGCUUGAGAGUGCUCUCAUGAGUACUAAUGCCAACAAGGUGUCGGGCUAUGUGAACUGUGAAUGCUUAAACCUGCAGCUCUGUCUUCCUGGCCCUGUGUGGACACCUGCAUGCCACAAGGCCACCUCAGUACCAUGGUUAGCAUGCCCCCUGUUCCUAUUUGGUUAAAUGGUAUAAUGCCAAGGCCAUCUGGCCUGGUAGGAAGAGCUGGGCUUUGAAUUCUUACCACCAGUGUGACUAGGCAAAUAGCUUUCAUCUAUUCAACCAAUAUUUAUUGAGGACCUAUAUGCCUAAGCCCCAGGUACUAAUAUAAUAUCUACUAUGGAGUAAGGAAGCUCUUCUUGUACCUUACCUCAUCUGACCCACACAGCCCCCAAAACAGAUUUUUGCUUUGGGUUUUUGUUUUUUUUUUUUUAUGAAAUGGAGUCUUGCUCUGUCGCCCAGGCUGGAGUGCAGUGGCAUAAUCUUGGCUCACUGCAACCUCCACCUCCUGGGUUCAAGUGAUUCUCCUGCCUCAGCCUCCCGAGUAGCUGGGAUCACAGAUACGCUACACCACAGCUGACUAAUUUUGGUGUUUUUAUUGGAGAGGGGUUUCGCCAUGUUGGUCAGGCUGGUCUCAAACUCCAACAGGUGAUCCACCCGCCUCCGCCUCCCAAGGUACUGGGAUUGCAGACGUGAGCCACCGCGCCCAGCCCGAAGCUUUGAAACUGUACUACACAUCAACAUCAUGCCACAGGUUAUUAACAUAUCAAGCCAGAGAAGAUCAAACAACAAAAGAGUGUACCUCCUGCCUGGACCAUCAAGGAGUUACGCUGUCCUGAAACUGACCCCUUUCUACGUUUGCUUUCCAGAGUCAAAGGGACUCUUCUGAUCCACAGUCAGACGCGUUAUCCAUUGAGCCACUGGCCCUUCGACACAGGGACUCUUUAAAUCAGUAAUCUCCACUUCCAUUCCAGGUUAGGAGCCCUUCUGUUUAGCAAGCAAGGCGACCAUCUUCAUUUAUCCACUAGAGGGUACCCAAACACUGCUUAUAAAAGACAAAACAACCAGACCCUGUUCAAUGGGCAGAGAUCAGAGUUUACCAUCUGUCUGGAAGAGUUCCUACACUUAAAACGCAUUGCACAGAGGUGGCAGGGCACGGAAGAAUAAACUCAACUCUCGCCCAUUAGUACCAGACGUUGCCUGGAAACAGAUCUGACAAGAAAAGCGGUCAGCUGGCUGAGACAAAGAUGAACGAGUAAAGACAUGGAAGGGCAAACUUAAUCUACAAACUCACAGCCGCCUCCUCACACCCCUGCAGAGUUCUUACUGAAGUGUGUUUAAUACUUUAAUGGGGAACUGUGUGGCGCCUCAACCAGUACAACUGAAGGGCUCAGGUCUUGCUGCUUUCUCCAACAAGGCACUUGGCUAGAAAGGUAGUUUGUAUUAGGGAAUGGAGAGCUGGCUCUUGGGAGAAGCAUGUCUCAAUUGCCCCGGAGAAUUCUGAACCAUAUGGUUGUCUUUCUAUUUUCAAACAACAUGAAAAUGGGCAUCUCCUGGCCCUCUCUGACCUCUUCUGAAGUCCCACCAUAGGAUUCCUCUGGAUACUCUACUCCAGAUUAGAACAAAACUUGAGGCCUAGAUAUUGUUAGUAAUUUCUGAAUUAUCUUUUUUAAAAUCAAAUUUAAUUGAUUUUACUAUACUUUAAGUUCUGGGGUACAUGUACAUAUCAUGCAGGAUUGUUACAUAGGUAUACACGUGCCAUAGUGGUUUGCUGUCUCCAUCCCCCCAUCACCUACAUUAGGUAUUUCUCCUAGUUAUCCCUCCCCAAUCCCCCCACCCUGUUCUCCCUCCUCUAGUCCCCCACCCCCCAACAGACCCCUCCCUGUGUCCACGUGUUCUCGUUGUUCAACACCCACUUAUGAGUGAGAACAUGUGGUGUUUGGUUUUCUGUUCUUAUGUCAGUUUGCUGAGAAUGAUGGUUUCCAGAUUCAUCCAUGUCCCUGCAAAGGACACGAACUCAUCCUUUUGUUUGGCUGCAUAGUAUUCCAUGGUGUAUAUGUGCCACAUUUUCUUUAUCCAGUCUAUCCUCAAUGGGCAUUUGGGUUGAUUCAAAGUCUUUGCUAUUGUGAACAAUGCCACAAUAAACAUACGUGUGCAUGUGUCUUUAUAACAGAACGAUUUAUAAUCCUUUGGGUAUAUACCUGUGGGAAGAAAGUUACCCAGGUGCCACGGCAAGAGACUGAAGGCACAAUCUGUCCCAGCAAGAUAAAUAACGGAUUACUUAGUUAUAGCAAUGGUACCAAAUAGAUUUACUGAUUACUUAAUUAUAGCCAUGAUAUAUUUACUGAUUACUUAUAGAAAUGACACCAAAUAGAUAUUAGAUUCAAUCACAGAAUCAAUUAUAUAAUCAAUCUUAUUAUAUCAUUAUUCGCUAUUGAUCUUUGCUUUAUUGUAGGAACAUUUUAGUUUUAGAGUAAAGACAUAAUCGGGUGAAAUAUAAUUCGGAACUGAAGGGACAUUGUGAGAAGUGAUCAGGAGGUGAGAGUAAAUGCCUUGCAGUAACACCAGCGCCUGGGAAGGCACCGGUUACCUAGCAGGCAGGCCUUGCCAUAACGCCAGCGUCUGGGGAGGCGCCCGUUACUUAGCUGUGAGGGGGAGUUUCCCUCUCACUGGGGAGUUCAGAAAACUCUGCCCUGCCAGCUCUUGAGGAAGAUCUGACACUAGCCAGGCCGGCCCACAGACAUCCAGGGGUUUAAACACCUCUCCGUGGUGCUGUGCUCCAGUGGUCACCAUCCUCGUCCACUUUCAUGUUCCACUUUCCCACCUUGUAAAUUCUUAGAAGCUGUGAGAAUAGAGGAAUCCUAAAAGUCUUUGAUCUCUCUGAUAAGUACAUAGAAAGAUACUGAAGUAUAUGCCUCCCCUCUUUGCAGUGGCUACCUGAGAGGUAAGGGCCCUCUGUGCUGUACCCACGUGACCCCCUGAACUGUACCCAUGUGGCCCCCCCCGUAUUGUAAGAAUGUGAUUUCCUUGACCCCUACCAAUCACUCUCCUGACCCUGCCCCCCUGCCUUGUAUACAAUCAUUAUCAGUGUGUCCAGGCUUUCAGGGCCACUGCUGGGCUCCAUGCCUCUUUGGUAGCAGUGGUCCCCUGAGCCCAGCUGAAUUCUUCUCCUAUCUCUGUGUCCUUGUCUCUUUCUUUUCUACGAUCUAUUGUCUCUGCACACAAAUGAACACCUGCUACACCCUGUGGGGCUAGACCCUGCAUAUACCCAAGUAAUGGGAUUGCUGGGCCAAAUGGAAUUUCUAUUUCUAGAUCCUUGAGGAAUCACCACGCUGUCUUCCACAAUGGUUGAACUAAUUUACACUCCCACAAACAGUAUAAAAGCGUUCUUCACAUCCUCUCCAGCAUCUGUUGUCUCCAGAUUUUUUAAUGAUCACCAUUCUAACUAGCGUGAGAUGGUAUCUCAAUGUGGCUUUUAUUUGCAUUUCUGUAAUGACCCUUAGGACUUUAGUCUGAUAUUCUAUGAUCAGCUAAAGACAACAAUGUGACAAUACCACUGGAUCCUGAUUUUCCCAGCAGGCAAUGGAAUGGAAAUCAGUCUAUUGGGCUGACUUUAAAAUAUGCCCACAACCUCUUUGAUGCUCUUCUUGAAGGUAAGUGCGACUUAGUGACUUGGUUUUGAUGAGCAGAAUGUGUUAGAAAUGAUGCUAUGUGACUUGGGAGGCUGUGUCAUAAAAAGGAGAUAGCCUCCUCCAGCUGUCUCACUCUUGGGUCACUUCCUCUGGGGAAGCUAGCAGCCAUGUUGUGAGGACACUCAAGCAGCCUUGCAGGGAGGUCAACAUGGAACAGAACUGAAGUUUCCCACCAACAGCCAGCACCAGCUUGCCAGCCACGUGAGUGAAGCUGAUUCUCCAAGCUGAAUCCUCAGAAGUGAAAUCUGCAGCCCCAGUUAAACUUUAAAUGACUGCAGCUCUGGCUGACAUCUGAUGGAACCUCAGGAAAACACCUGAGCCAGGGCUGCUCAGCCAAGUUGAUUCUGAAUUCCUCAUGUAUAGACACUGUGAGUGAUAAUAAAGGUCUACAACUGCUUUAGGCCAUUACAUUUGAGGGUAAUUUAUUACACAGAAUUAGACGGCUAAUAUACCUAGUACCAUCCAAUUUUGUCUUAUAUACAAUAGGUAGUGUGUUAGGUACAAAGCCUGGGACACCCAGCUUUGUUAUGAAUUUGCUGUGUGACCACAGGCAUAACUAUGUCUCUGAGCCUCAGUUUGUACCUCCACAAGAUGGGUACAUCAUCACCUAGGUUGCAACAGGGUCUUAAGGUGUCUGUAAAGAUAGAGGUAAAAGCAGUAAUAUCACUGUCAUGCUUUUCCAUUUCUUUUUUUGAGAUGGAGUCUCACUCUGUUGCCCAGGCUAGAGGGCAGUGGUGCGAUCUUAGCUCACUGCAACCUUCGUCUCCAGGGUUCAAGCAAUUCUCCUGCCUCUGCCUCCAGAGUAGCUGAGACUACAGGCAUGCACCACCAUGCCUGGCUAAUAUUUUGUAUUUUUAGUAGAGAUGGGGUUUCACCAUGCUGGCCAGGCUCGUCUCGAAUUUCAGAGCUCAUGAUCCACCUGCCUCAGCCUCCCAAAGUGCUGGGAUUGCAGGUGUGAGCCACCACACCUGGCCUAGUUUCAUGUUUUUUUCUCCCAGAGAACAUGAUUUAAUGCUUAGCAGAGCUGGUUUCUUAGCAGUAAUGGUCCAGGGUACUCAGUCAGUGAAGGAAAGGAGUGGGAGGUUUCCCAUGCCUUUAGAACGGCUGGGCUCAGGGUGCUGAGGAGCCUUAAGAGCAGAGGCUGGCAUGCUCUUACUGUAAAAGGCCAAAUAGUAAAUAUUUUUGGCUUUGUGGGCCACAUGGUCUCUGCCACAGCUACUCAAUUCUGACACUGUAGCAUGAAAGCAGCAUAGACAAUAGGUAAAUGAAUGGGGAGCAACUGUGUUCACUAAAAUUUUUUUUACAACAGGCAGCUGGCUGGACUUGGCCGCUGGGCUGUAAUCUGCCAACCUCUGCGCCUUGUAGCCAUGGCUUCUCCAUUGAUGUGGUCUGGUCCCAGGCCAGCAGGAUCAGGAUCCCCCAGGAGCACGUGAGAAAACCAGACUUUCGGGCCACAGCCAAAUCUGCUGAGUCAGCAUUUCUGGAAGGAGCCCAGCAAGGCGUCUUCACAAGCCCAGGCAGCUCAGGUUUAAGAAGCCCUAUCUUCUUCCCUCUUUCUCAUGGGCUGCUCCACGCACCAGAGACUUAAGAGGAAUACUGAAUGCUGAUGCCCCAAUCAAAGACCUUCUCAGGACUCACAAAGAACAGACCUUCCCCCAGAAUCAGUGAAACAUACUUGGAUCAUGGUCCUGGGUCAGCAGUAAGUACAGCAGCAGCCAGCCCCAGGCAGACAGCUUAGGGUCUUCAGGAACACUGGACAAAUUCGUGAAAGACGCUUAAAGUGAGGGGAUUGGAUCUGGUGUAUUCCAGGGCCACCUCUGCCCGCAGGCCUGGACGGCGUUAUCUGCGGUCACCUGCUAACCUGGCUCCCACAUUUACUUACUUCUUUAAACACUUUUCCAUUUCACAUGUUGGUUUCUGCUGUGGUUUGAAUGUGGUCCCCAAAUUUUUAUAUGUUGGAUACUUGGUCCUCAAUGCAGCCGUGUUGAGAGGUGGGAUCUCUGGGAGGUGAUUGGAUCCUGAGGGCUCUGCUCUCAUAAAUGGAUUAAUCCAUUCAUGGAUUAAUGAGUUAUCAAGGGAGUAGGUUUGUUAUGACAAAAGGGAGACUGUUUUAAAAGCCAGUCUUACUGUCUCUCGUGAGCCCCCUUGCUAUGUGAUGGCCUAUACCGCCUCAAAACUUUGCAGAGGGUCCCCACCAGCAAGAAAGCCCUCAUCAGCUGUGAUGCCCUGACCUUUGGCUUCCCCGCCUCCAAAACUGGAAGAGACAAUGGUUUUCUUAAUAGAUUACCCAGUCUCGGGUAUUCAGCCAUAGCAACAGAAAACAGACAAAGACGAUUUCCUUCUGUUUUGGUGAAGCAUGGGGUAUAAAAGGCAAAGAGGAGAAGAACAAAAUGAAUGCUAUCUCCUAAGGAAUACAACUGAGAUAAAGGCUUAUAGGAAAGAAGCAACAGGAAAGACGAUGAGAGAGUAGUGAGGAAGAGGCCAGUCUCUAUAAAAACUGCUGCUUCUGUGUGGGAGAGAAACGCUUAUGAAUGACAGUAAACCUCUUACCUCUAACCAGCACGAUAUUUCUAUAAGACAUCACCUUACGUUGCUCACAUCUCAUUUAGCUACAAAGUUGCAUGAUAGAGAUAUGACCAUCUCUCUUUUAGGGAGGGAAACUGAGGCUUACAGCAGUGAAGGGCUAUGUUCAAAAGCACAUUCUGCAAAGCUGCUGGAGACCUGGCUGAAAGGCAGGUCUAGGCUUCCUUUCUGCUACAGAGCCUCCCAGCACUGCCACAGGUCCACAGCCCAGUUCGAGGUCAAGAUAAAAUCUUACAUGUACAAGCCUUGAAUUGUGCCGACUCUACUUUACCACAGGUCCCCUGAAGGGACUGCACAGAGCCUGAGAACCGGCUCUACCUGGGAUAGCUCCACCUCUGUCCUUCUACCUUUAGGCACUAGGGAGGAAGGUGGGAGGAGGGCGGGACAUCACACAAAAAGGUUCAGGUGUGGUUGUACAACUGUGCAUGUAUCAAAAGCCACACAGCUACUCUUUAGUGUCAAUCUCAAAAGAAAUGAAAUAAAAAUCAAACAAGGAGGAUUAUGAAAUGCUUCCCUCCACCAAAGAUGCCACACAUUUGCCCCAGCGCUGGCGGUGUGAGAAGCCGUGCCCUCAUGCUGAGAGUCACUGUGCUGGAGGGCCUCUCCCACUUGGCCAGGCUGCUUUCUGGAGUCUGUCAUUCCCUCAGUCCACUUGCCCUCUGGAUGUUUAACUGCUUCUGAGUGCAGGAAGUAAGACCGUGCGCUUCUUCCUCAAGGGAGAGGUCUGAUCUCCUACCCAGCAAGUCUCCCUGAUUUUAUGAAACUGAAAGGGCCCUGGCAGACAUACACGCCCUUUAGGAAUCUAUAUUCCUUUGUCAUGUCCAUUCUUCAUUCUGAAAUUCCUGGGUUAUCAGACCUUCUUUCACACAGAAGAAAAUUUAGGAGAGCCUUAAAUCAUAAUGAUCAGUCCGGGAAACACAUGAGAACAGGUGACCUUCAGCACAUCUGUUCUACCCAAUUAGCCUUCGCCCCCAUGGCUGCCAGCUGCACCAGGCUUAGUAGAGUCCAAUGGUCAAGGUUAGUGAACUCAUGGCUGCAGAGAUAGAGAGAGUUGCCCACCUGGCCCCUGAAAACAAGUUUAGGAAUGUCAAGCCCUCCAUGGAGGUGAGUCUGGCUGCGCACGUUUCACGAAGCUUUUCCCCAGGCAAGCUGGUCUGCUUCCGGCGGGAGAUGUACAGCUUACCAGAGGGUCCCACGACCCCCCACCUAGUGCGCCUGACUCCACCAUGCCAGAAUCUCCUUCUUUGUCUACAUCCAUCAGGAGAUGGGCACAAAUACACGCAAGGUGGGGAGAAUGACAGGUACAGGAAGGCGUCAUACUCUCCAGCUCUCCCAGGAAAGGAGUGGGAUGGAGAGCACAGCCUCAUGCCAGCUUGGCAGACCCACUGGUGCCCCUGGAGACCAAGCCAGGUCCUUCCUGCUAUCUGUGACAGAAGAGCCCUGGCAGGAUAGAGUUAUAAUUCCUGGCCAGGCCUCCCCACUUGGGCAGAGUAUGUCAAAGGUAAACUCCAGGAGCAGGUGGGCACUGAGAGACACUGCCCCUCAAUGUGCCAGCAACUUCUCCCUUCCCUCCCUCCCUCACCAAGAUGGCCCGGGGGCUAGUGGAGCAAGAGUGCAGAAGGCCCUUGGCCUCACCAUCUGGAAGGUAGGAGUUGGCGGUUUUCAACUGAGGCAGAGGAGGGCAGGCAUGAGUGACGGAUGUCACUGGUUCACUUUACACCAUUUUUUUAACUGGGGGAAGGGAGGUGAACUUUAAGCGGAAAGAAAUUUAAAAUUUGAUUGUCACAUUAAGGCAAAAGGAUACGGUAAACACAAAUUCGGGUAUAUUUUUAAGAGAAAACAUGAGCUGGCUUCAAAAAGCUCAAAUUGUGCUGAGUGGGGAGCUUCUGGGACAUGUUCCUUUGUCCCCCCUUUUUUUUCUUGUUAAUUGACUGUUUUUUAGAGCAGUUUUAGCUUUACAGAAAAAUUGAUUGGGCGUGGGGGCUCACGCCUGUAAUCCCAGCACUUUGGGAGGCUGAGGCAGGAGAAUCACUCUCCCCAGGAGAACCUGGGAGGCGGAGGUUGCAGUGAGCCGAGAUCACACCACUGAACUCCAGCCUCGGUGACAGAGGGAGACUCUCAAAAAAAAAGAACAAGAAAAAUUAAUUGGAACAUGCAGAGUUACCACAUAUCCCCUUCUCUCCUC